AUUGAACGCUGGCGGCAUGCUUUACACAUGCAAGUCGAACGGAAACAGGCCGCAAGGUGCUGACGAGUGGCGAACGGGUGAGUAAUGCAUCGGAACGUGCCCAGUCGUGGGGGAUAACUACUCGAAAGAGUAGCUAAUACCGCAUACGAUCUAUGGAUGAAAGCGGGGGACCGUAAGGCCUCGCGCGAUUGGAGCGGCCGAUGUCAGAUUAGGUAGUUGGUGGGGUAAAGGCUCACCAAGCCAACGAUCUGUAGCUGGUCUGAGAGGACGACCAGCCACACUGGGACUGAGACACGGCCCAGACUCCUACGGGAGGCAGCAGUGGGGAAUUUUGGACAAUGGGCGCAAGCCUGAUCCAGCAAUGCCGCGUGCAGGAAGAAGGCCUUCGGGUUGUAAACUGCUUUUGUACGGAACGAAACGGCUCUGGUUAAUACCCGGGGCUAAUGACGGUACCGUAAGAAUAAGCACCGGCUAACUACGUG
rnacentral:rRNA from 1 species